CAGGACCCUGGGAUCAUGACCUGAGCUGAAGGCAGAGGCUUUAACCCACUGAGCCACCCAGGUGCCCCUAGAAUCUAAACUCUUAACCACGACCCUGCAAUAUCUCAUUUAACCUCUGGGACAGUGCUGUCCAAUAGACCUUUCUGCAGACCGUGGCACAUUUGCCCCCGCUGUGUAGUAGCCCCUGGCUGCCUGUGGCUCACAUAGUAGGUGCUAUGUUUUCCCUCCAUUUAGUCCUGAAGAAAAUGAAGGUGAAGUGACUCUUAAGAUCAGAAAAGCUGUUUCUGUCUGAACCCCUGUGGUUAGGCUCUUUGCUGUGCGACUGUGGGACUGUGGGCACGCCACUUAACCUGGGCUGGUUCAUUCCUCUCAGAAGAUCUGCUCUGCCUGCCUCUGGGUCAUAAGAUAAUCUAGAGAAGUUCCACCUGAUUAAAAUGCAUUUGUUACACAUGAACAAAGACCCUAGCUCCCCAGUAGCUAUAGAUCUGUUGUUGAACAGGCGUGACUAUCCUGAAGGCACUCAGGCUCAGCGAGGUGAAGCGCUUGCCCGAGACCUUGACUGGUGCUUACCGGCGCAGGUCCAGCUGGGUGCGCAGCGCCUUCCCCCGGAGUGCCAUCUUGGCGCUGAGACGGGCGUCCUACAGGCAAGGGGGUUGGGGCAGGGUUACUGACCCACGGGGUCCGCAGCAUGCUCAUCCCGACCCUCAGUACCCCCGCUCUAAUGUCCGCACCAUGAUCAUGCUGGACAGCUGGACCUCGGGCUGGUCAGGCGGGACCAGGGCUAUGGUGACACUGGCAGUGACGGAGACCGUGCUCCCCGAGGGCUUGAUGGUGCAGCGAGGUGGGGCCAGGACGCGCAGCUCCAGCUUCAGCGGGGAGUCGAUCACUGCUGGGCUCUGGGGACAGAGUGUGGGGGGGAGGUGGGGGUGGUCCCAGAUCUGCUCCCUGAUGAGCUCCAGGAGGGAACAUGGGGUGGCUCUGGCUCUGCCUGCUGGGAGCCCAGACCCGCAAAUAACGAGGACUGGUGUGGCUUCCCAGACCCUUCAGAACUGUACCCAGCCUCUGUGCCUUUGCUCACGUGAGGGAUGGAAUGUCUCCUUCUAAUGCUUUCCUGAGUUCUUGCUAGUGGGGAUCUAUAGCCAGCCAGACUCCUCCGGGACAGUGUUUGCAUCAGAUAUCCCCACCCUCUGCCGUAUCAUCCUUUGCUCUGCACUGCUCUGCUCUUUCCCGUGUAGGCACUGACCAAUAUUUUGCCCGUGUUAGCUCAUUCAGACCUCAUCAUAACCAUGUGAGGCAGGCAUUAUCAUGCUCACCUUGGAGAUGGGGAAACCAAGGCACGGAGAAGUUAAGUAACUUGUCGAAGGUUCUGGAGUUAUCCAGGUGCAGACCCUGGGAUGCAGACCUGGGCAGUCUGGCCAGAGAGUCCGUGACCCUCCCCCACCACCUGGCCAUCAGGCAGCUGGUGACGAUGGGGAUGACAGCAGCAGGGACGGCCGCUAGUGUUUCCUGAGCAGUUAACCUGCGCCAGGGGCUGCUCUGAUUUCUUUACGUGAAUUAAUUCAGUUAAUCCUCAGUGACAGCCCUCGGAGGCUGUAUAGUGUAGAAGAGAUUAAGGGCAAGCCCUCUAACGAUCACUGAGAUACUUUUUAGAUUGUGACCUCCCAACCCUCUUCCCAUGAAACAAGGGGAAAUCAUAAGGCAAAAGAAGAAUACAUCAGGGGCGUCUGGCUGGCUCAGUCAGUAGAGCAUGGGACGCUUAAUUGUGAGGGUAAUGAGCUCGAGCCCCACGAUGGGCAUAGAGAUUAUUUUAAAAAAUUAACUUAAAAAAAGAAUACAUUGGUCAUUGUUAGAGUCCCUACGCUUAGAGAGCUUGGGUUCUCAGCCUGUGCUCCUCCUAGCUUCAUGAAGAAGUAGCAAGGGCCCUUCACAGACCUGAAAUCGACCUUGACAAACAAGAGAACUUAGCCACAGGCGAGACGUCGGGCCUUCUGUCUACUGCUCAGUGGCUGUGGGGGCCUCUGCCUGUACAGCUCACGCGUCCCCUUGCUGGUGUGCAGGUGGUAUGGCCGCCCACCCUGGCCUCGUCCCUACCUCCUGCCAACACUCACCAGUAGGACAAUGCUCCCAAAGUAGGUGGCUCUCAGCAGCAUGUCCAGAUCGUGGGGCACCUGCAGAGGGGAAGAAGAUGAGGCAGGGUUAUCGGGAGUUUCGGACAGGUCCCCUCUUGGCCAUCUGGCAGACAGACCCCGACAUACCUUGUCCCCCACCAGGGACAGCUUCAGGGCUUCCGCCCGGAAGUAACUUUCCAUGGCAGAGUCAAAGAAGAACUCCGAGAAGGCCACGUACACCAUCCGCUCCUCCUCCUGCAGCUGGGGCUCUACCGCCCGGUUGGGCAGGCUCCAGUUCCCCUCAGCCAGAGGAAAGAAGGCCCCCUACAGUUGGGGGAUCAGGGUCAGCCUGGCCCAGCACCCAGAUCUUCCCACGUCCGGUGCCAGGCCCUGUGAGGGUUGGACCCAGUUGCUAUCUUUAGGGGUCUUAUUAGCACAACUUCUUCUUUUAAGUUGUAUUUAUUUAACUAAUCUCUCCUCCCAACAUGGGGCUUGAACUCACAACCCCAAGAUUCAGAGUCGCAUGCUCUACCAACACCCCACCAGGUGCCCUCGUUGUCAGCACAACUCCUAAAAAGUCAUUCAGAGGAGGGCAGCUGGAGUUCUGCAAGGGAGCACUCCCAUUAGGCCAGAGAAGGGACACCCAGGAGAGGGACUUGGGGAGGAGGUGGCUUGUGAGUGGGUCUUGAAAGAUACAGAGCAGGAGUGAGAAAAGCUGCUGUUGACAUUUAUAUAGAUUAUGUGCAUAGAGCUGUUAUGUCCAACUGCUUCAGGGGAGGUGGGAAAGGGCAGCACACGAGCAAAGGCCCUGAGGCAGGAAGCCAGGGGCAUAUUUGGGAAAGAAUGAGUGCAGAGAAACAGGGUGAAGUCAGAAAGGUGGAGCCAGACAAGGUUAACCAGGCUCAGAAGCCAGACUCAGGGGUUGAACCGAAUUCUGCAGGCCAUGGAGGUCCACUCAGCAGUGGAGUGGCCCAGAGCUGUGCCUUCAGAGGACAAAAUGAGCAAUGCCGGUGAACGAGGAGGAGGUCUGGUUAGGUCAGAGACACCACAGCAGCCAGGCAGCUCACCCGGAAGUCCAUGUCCAGGUUGCUGUCGGAAGCGACGGGGUCCUUCAGGAGGGAGUAGUCGAUGCCAACCAGCUCAUCCACAGAGCUGCGAACUGUGGGAAGCACAGUCACUCAAGCUGCGUUCACCCUUCUGGGCCUAUUUCUCAUCCACAACACGGUGAUUAGAAAUCCUCCCUCGUAGGGUUGUUGUGGGGAUCAAAUCGGUUUUACGCGGGAAGCAGUCAGUGCUCAGCCAUAUUAGCGACCACUGCUGCCAUCGCCACCCCUAUGGCAAGGGCUCCGUGAGAUCACUGAGCAAGACGGCAAGGGAUUCUUUUCCCUCAUUGUUCUGCAUGCCCUGUGUGGGGGGCGUGAUGAUCUCUACCCCACAGCAGGCAGAGGUCAUGGCAGGAAAAGGGAAUUCGUGUUAGUUGAACACCUGUUAAGUGCAAGGGAUGAAUACAGAGGAGCUCCCAGUGAUCAGCAAGUCCAUAUCGAGGACCUGGACAGUCAUCGCUCAGUUACUAGUUCCAACAACCCCCACAAGGAGGCAUCGGCAGCCAAGCGAAGACAACAGGGCCCAGAGAGAGGUGAGUACUUACGUAGGGCCAUGUGGCCAGUCAGCAGCAGAGGCCCUAUUUGAGGCCAGGGCAUGGCAGGGGACUAUUCUGAGGCCCUGCCUGGCAGCUGCACACCUGGCCCCCUCCUCACCCCCAGUCCAGUCCCAGGCAUGGCCCGGAGCUUCCCACCCGGCCAGCACCAACUCACCAGGCACAGUGUCCAGGAGUGAAUUGAGGAGCACCGUCCCUGCGUGGUAAAGCACAGGGCAGAUCUGCGAGGUGGGGUCUAGAGUCAGGGCCUUCCAAAGAGAGGAGGGCACCCCACACACACACUACUGCUGUACCUGCUGGUUCAGGAGAAAGCGCAUCCCCGAGAUGAUGAAUGUGGAGAGGAACUCAUACACCUUCCUGCAAGGAGGGGAGAGACCACGUGAGCCCAGACUCUGCCCUACCCCAAUCCAGGUCCAGGAGAAAUCACUAGCCUGAGAGAUGGGGAGGAGGUGGCUCAGCUUUACUGUAUUACCACCUCUUUAAUGGAGGGUUUCCAAAUCCCCUCUCUAGCCUUAUUCUCAAGACCUAACCCCUGCCCCCCACGAGCCCCCUGAAUUUACCCCCAGUUCUUCAAACCUGCUGUAAGCAUCCCCACUUCCAGAUGCUUACUCAUACCCUCCCUUCCACCCUCAGCGUUCCUGUCCUGUAUGUCCCCCUGUAUAGGCUCAGAUGCUUCCUCUUCCAGGCAGUCUUCCCAGAUUACCCUCUUCUGAACCCAGGGAGGACUCAGUUCCUCCCUCAAAGCCCCAAUAACAAAUAUUUUGUCCCUUCAGCUAGGCUCUGAGUUCCUUUAUGAAUCCUCAAGUACUUACAUAUACGUUAUUUAAUAAAUAAAAACUUGGCAGUAUACCAACACCAGAUGAUAAAUCCACCACCUUUUCUUUCCCACUCUCUUUGAGAACAAUCACUAAGUCCCCUUCUCAGCCCCAAACCUGAAAUUAUGCUCUUGUUUUUAUCAGUGGUAGUGAGGGCUACAAAUUACUGAGUUCAUGUCCAGCUGCACAUACUGAUCCUCACAAUUACUCUUAUCUAGGAAGCUAGCCACUAACAUGCCAGUCACUGUUCUAAAUAUUUGUACAUAUAUUAACAAACAGUCUUCAGAACAUAAAAUUAUAAAAUAGUUCCUAUUAUCAUCCUCAUCUCACCAAUGAGGAAAUUGAGGCACAGAGCUUCAGUGACUCGACCAAGGUCACACACUCGACCAAGGGAAAUGAGGAUGCUGAGAGUUGGACCCUGUUGACCUGGUUCCCAAGUCUGUGCACUUUGCAUCGUACUAGGCAGUAAGCUCAAAGGGGGGUGCCCUGGGUUGGAGAUCGGGCUUACUUGAAGGUUCCCCCGAAGGCUGCGUGCAUUCUGGAGACCGAGGCCUGGCAGGAGACAUUGGACACUUUGAUGCGGCCAUUGGCAUCCCGGGAGAGCUGCAGAGCAGUGCGGAUAGACACACCCUCGGCAGAGGCAUUGAUGUAGCCCCCAUCAUA